rnacentral:rRNA from 1 species
AUUGAACGCUGGCGGCAUGCUUUACACAUGCAAGUCGAACGGUAACAGGCCGCAAGGUGCUGACGAGUGGCGGACGGGUGAGUAAUGCAUCGGAACGUGCCCAGUCGUGGGGGAUAACGCAGCGAAAGCUGUGCUAAUACCGCAUACGAUCUAUGGAUGAAAGCGGGGGACCGUAAGGCCUCGCGCGAUUGGAGCGGCCGAUGUCAGAUUAGCUAGUUGGUGGGGUAAAGGCCCACAAAGGCGACGAUCUGUAGCUGGUCUGAGAGGACGACCAGCCACACUGGGACUGAGACACGGCCCAGACUCCUACGGGAGGCAGCAGUGGGGAAUUUUGGACAAUGGGCGCAAGCCUGAUCCAGCAAUGCCGCGUGCAGGAAGAAGGCCUUCGGGUUGUAAACUGCUUUUGUACGGAACGAAACGGCCUGGGUUAAUACCCUGGGCUAAUGACGGUACCGUAAGAAUAAGCACCGGCUAACUACGUGCCAGCCGCCGCCGUAA